rnacentral:rRNA from 1 species
GAGUUUGAUCGUGGCUCAGAUUGAACGCUGGCGGCAUGCCUUACACAUGCAAGUCGAACGGCAGCACGGGAGCUUGCUCCUGGUGGCGAGUGGCGAACGGGUGAGUAAUGCAUCGGAACGUAUCCUGGAGUGGGGGAUAACGUAGCGAAAGUUACGCUAAUACCGCAUACGUCCUACGGGAGAAAGCAGGGGACCUUCGGGCCUUGCGCUAUCAGAUGAGCCUAGGUCGGAUUAGCUAGUUGGUGGGGUAAUGGCUCACCAAGGCGACGAUCCGUAACUGGUCUGAGAGGAUGAUCAGUCACACUGGAACUGAGACACGGUCCAGACUCCUACGGGAGGCAGCAGUGGAGAAUAUUGGACAAUGGGCGAAAGCCUGAUCCAGCCAUGCCGCGUGUGUGAAGAAGGUCUUCGGAUUGUAAAGCACUUUAAGUUGGGAGGAAGGGCAGUAAGUUAAUACCUUGCUGUUUUGACGUUACCGACAGAAUAAGCACCGGCUAACUCUGUGCCAG